rnacentral:lncRNA from 1 species
GGCCUGCGGAGCGGGUGCGCGCGGGCGGGCACGUGGGGCCCUUUCGUCCCCGGCGUCCGGGCGCCCUGCAUGGAUCCCCCACCCCAGCUCCUGCUCCCCGGCGGCGGCCGACUUCCUAGCAUGGGCUGUUGUGCUGGAGAGAACGAGAGCUACGAAGAGACUACAGUGCCUCUGACUUUUUCAUAGGACAGUUGGCCGAGGAAGACAAACAUAAAGAUGAAGUGCUUAAUUCAAGGUCACACAAUGUCGGGGAUGGACCUCCAGAUUUCCUUACUGGUGAGACGUGGUCUUGUAACACAGUGGUUAAGAAUGUGACUUUGGAGCCAGCCUGCUAGGGGCUGAAUUCUGACUCAGCCAUUUACUAACUGUGUGACCUUAGGUGGGUUCCCAAGCCUGUAAAAUGUAAGCCUUAUGCUGCUGAGGGCCAUCUUGCCACCCUGAGGGAAACGCUGCCUGAGAAUGAAACAAGCAUAAGUAAAAGCUGAGCUGUGAGAUGGAGCAAGAUGAAGGCCACAUGACAUCUUUGGAGCACCUGGAUCUAACUGUGCCUUAAGCUAGUCUAACCCUGAACAUUUCAUCAUUUCAUUGACAUGAGCCCAGGUUUUCUUUUUUUUUGGAUGGAGUCUUGCUCUGUCGCCCAGGCUGGAGUGCAGUAGCUCAAUCUCGGCUCACUGCAAGCUCCACCUCCCGGGUUCACGCCAUUCUCCUGCCUUAGCCUCCCAAGUAGCUGGGACAACAGGCGCCCACCACCACUCCCAGCUAAUUUUUUGUAUUUUUAGUAGAGACGGGGUUUUACCAUGUUAGCCGGGAUGGUCUUGAUCUCCUGACCUCAUGAUCCGCCCGCCUCGGCCUCCCAAAGUGCUGGGAUUACAGGUGUGAGCCACUGCACCCAGCCCUCAGGUUUUCCCUUUUUUUACCCCUCCUUUUGAAAAUUUGAUGUGGAAUUUUGCCACCUGCAGCCAGAAGAGUUUUAACUAAUCAGUGCCAUAAAUUUUAUAUAGUUCUCCUUGCAAAAUGUGGAUCAGCCUUUCUCAGCAAAUCCUUUGUCAUAAAGUGCUGAAUUGUAAGUUUGUCAUGAGAAUCACAUGAGAUCAUGCAUGUGAAGAACCUGGCAUUAUCCUCCUCAUAGAAAAAAACCAGUAAAUAUUAACUACAGGAAGCAAGGAAGGAGUGGGGUGAGGGGAAGAAGAAGGGGUACUGAUUUAAAAGAACCCUGGAGUCCUAAGGAUAAUCUAGGAACCCUCAGACCCAAUCCGAUACCCCUAUUCUAAAUGCUCCUAGUGCCCUGUACCUUCCCCUCAUAAGCCUUCAUUAUCAUUGUAAUGAUAUGUUUAUGUAAUAUUUUGAUUAAUGUCUCUCCUUCACUGACCUAGCAGUUCUAGCAGGGCAGUGAUUUUGCUGUGUUGCAUCCCCAGCACCUAGUCUGGUAUGUGGCAUUCAGCAUAUGUUUAUUGAAUGAAUGGCCAUGUGGUUAUUCAGAUCCUCCUUGAUUAUUGGGGUUAGGAUUGUGGCAGAAGUGGCAAAAUCAGGGAGAGUAGUCCCUGUCCCCUCUGUAUCUUAUACACUGCCCACACUCCCAACACACAUACACAUACAGAGAAUUUUGUCUCAAUUAGAUAAUUAACUUCUGCUUGGUUGUAAACCAAACCACUGGUUCUUAAACUUUCAUUGGAUCAUUUUAUUGAAGAAUUAAAUAGUGUGGUUCUGGCCUAAUGUCUGGAAAGCCUUGCAGAGGAGUGGAUUAGGUCUUUGUGAUAAACAGGCAGCCUUCCCUGCUCCUGUGUCUUUAUAAAAUCUAUUUAACUGGAGUAGUCCACCCUCCCUCAGGCUCUUACAGGAAUAUGUUGGAGGCUGUAGGAAGGUGGGAAACCGAGAGGGAAAGGACUGGGCCGCUGGAGACUUCACUCAUUCCCUAGCAAGAAACAAAAGCAGUAAAAGGUGGCCCGAGGACAACCUGAAGCUCACUCCUUCAGCACUUUUGGCUGGAGGUCACUUGUUGGAGCCCCACUCAGAGCUCAGCACACCACCCCACCAGCAGCCUCCUCCUCCCAGCUGAGGCUGCAUUUCAUCCCUUCCCCCAGCCUGCUUUCCCUGAGAUAGGGGAGUGUUUCCCAGGGCCCAUGUGACUUCCACUGGCAAGUGACGAUUACCAAUGGUUUACUAGUCAGUGAAACUACCAAAGGCUUUUGUGCUGUAGUAAUCCUUUUCCUGUUUAAAACUCUGGGGAUUUUCUAAUGUUGCCAAUAGUUUUUCAAGUCAGCAAUUACUGUGUGGAUUAUGUAAUGGCUCGGUAUUAAAAA